GAUGAACGCUGGCGGCGUGCCUAAUACAUGCAAGUCGAGCGAACAGACGAGGAGCUUGCUCCUCUGAUGUUAGCGGCGGACGGGUGAGUAACACGUGGAUAACCUACCUAUAAGACUGGGAUAACUUCGGGAAACCGGAGCUAAUACCGGAUAACAUGUUGAACCGCAUGGUUCACAGUGAAAGACGGUCUUGCUGUCACUUAUAGAUGGAUCCGCGCCGCAUUAGCUAGUUGGUAAGGUAACGGCUUACCAAGGCAACGAUGCGUAGCCGACCUGAGAGGGUGAUCGGCCACACUGGAACUGAGACACGGUCCAGACUCCUACGGGAGGCAGCAGUAGGGAAUCUUCCGCAAUGGGCGAAAGCCUGACGGAGCAACGCCGCGUGAGUGAAGAAGGUCUUCGGAUCGUAAAACUCUGUUAUUAGGGAAGAACAAAUGUGUAAGUAACUAUGCACGUCUUGACGGUACCUAAUCAGAAAGCCACGGCUAACUACGUG
rnacentral:rRNA from 1 species